rnacentral:lncRNA from 1 species
GAAUUGCAAGUCCAAUUUGACCUCCUCCAGACCAGAGAAGAGAGGAGGUCAAUCAAAAAAGAAAUAUUACUCAAUCAAAGAUCCAACUGAUCCCCACGCCUCUAUUGCAAAUACGCAGUCACGAAUAAUCCCGCUAAAGUAAUAGGAAUUAGGCCUAAGACGAUUCCAAAUAGAAAAACUUCAAUCAUUUCGAUUUGUUCGAGGGGAUAAAAAAAGAGGUACGAUCUAUCUCUAAAUAAUAGUCUAAAUUAUCCACGAAUCUCAAUGACCAAGAAAAGAAUUGGUAAUUAGUGUGGAAAAGAGUCUAGAAUGCCAGGAAUCCAAAAGAAGGAUUCUUCUUUUCUGACUUAUUCAUUCAAUUCAUUUCAAAUAAGACGUAUCUUGUUCAAGCCAAUAAAUAGAGCUGGGGUUAUAGUUAAAACAGCCGGUAGAAAACCGAAAUAACUAGUUAUAGUAAGCAUGAAGGGGUUAAAUUCCUUAAUUUUUUACUACACUACAUAUGUUGGUAAUGUGGCAGAACCAACCUGAAUUACACCGGCUCAAGUACGCAAGUCCUCUCACAAGGGCUCUAACGUACUUCAAACGGUGUAACCCCUUGGCCUGUUGGGUAGCGUCCCGAUAAACCACCGAAUGCAGGAUCAAACAAGGUACCUCGCACGAAGGUGAGUCCAGAGAUAUAAUCACCAUCAUAUUUUACAUCACAGGCACUUAUAUUACAAGAGUUUAUAGAGUAGCAUAAGUUUUAGACUGAUAGAAGUUAUUACAAACCAGUUUAAGAAUUCAAGUUCACAGCAGCGGAAUUCAAAGUACGAUAACUGUACACGUCGCCAGUAUGGACAUAUGCUAAGCCAUGGCAUGAUAUCACUCGUUAUGAUCGGUGUUGGCCGGGGACGGGUCCCACUCCACGGACCAACCAUCAGGCAAAGCACAGGGCCAAGGCAUGGGGAGGGUAGGGUCUUCAGAGGCAUUACCUGAAAUAAAGUCAUAUUGCAAGACUGAGUACUCUAAUACUCAGCAAGGCUUACCCGGAAAUAGGGUAUACUUAGCCCAUAACUAGACCAUGAAGGCUUUGCAAAGGUUCUAGGUUUAGCUUUUGCUAAAAAGCGAUAAAGUGUAGAUCCUUAACUUCAUAUUUUAGCUUUCAAUUUCUAGUUCCUUUAACCAUUCUAGGUAAGCACCUAUAAUUACUCAAGCAAGAUAGAGUCUUUUUAAAGCAUAUCUCAGAUUACUCAUCAUAAGAUUCCUCUUGUUACUCUAUGUGGCAAAAGAGUUAAGCAGUCUCAAUCUCCGCGAGAAACGGACGAUUCUGAAUCGAAUUUCAACCCUUGCAAGGUAAACCUAACUCACACGCUUGGAACACCAACAGGUUGUUCCAAAACAACCGUUUGCCUUCCAUUCCGGGUCGUGGAACAAUGCCACCACAAGCGACUGCAAGACCAUACGCACAUCCAAUGUGUAGGACAUACGUCUGUAGCGUGACUACAUGACCGUAUUCCCGUCUGCUCUGCAGAACGUACUCCCAUAGUCGGUGCAUGUAAACAUAAAAUAAAAGUUGAGUGGUGGGAGACGAGUCCACUUGCCGGGCCGAUUGGUUACUAGGCUUACCGCUUACCAUAUUUCACGGCAUAUGGCUAGUACUUUCAAACACUUAACUGCCACUACCACACACUGCGACCUUAACCAAAUUCAUCAACACAGAUGGGGUAUCAUUUCUUUUCAAGAUACCACACAUGACCCCGUCCGUCAUCCUUAUAGUGAUUGCAGUAUUGUAAGCAACCAAUUCCAAUAUCGCACGAGUGACAGGAAAUCACUCGACUUCUACCGGUCCUAUUAGCAUAGCACUAGUCGAAUUCAGGUUCUGAUAUUCAGUACGUUGGUUUCUAGGAAUAUGCAUCUAGGGUUUCCACACAACUCCUCAGAACUUAAUGCACAAGUAUAUAUAUAAAGGUAAAUUGCAGUGUAAAUAAAAUAGUGGGUUUAUGUCCGGGGCUUGCCUUCACUGGCGGGCUGGGGUCAGAGACGUUAACAAUUUCUUCUGAACUCGGGUUCGGGGCUUCAGUGAAUUCUCCGACGAUGUUCCCGGCGUCUUCAGAGACUUCUAUUUCGGGUUCCGGGAGAAUCUGAUAGUCUCCGUCGGCGAGAAGUGUCGAGUCUACAUGUGAUGAAAAUGAUGCAGUUUAGAAAAUGCAUAGAUUUUUAUUCUAAUUUCACAAUAAAGUUGCAAUCCAACGAACCUAACAUUACAAACUAACAAACAACACAGUUACCCUUUACUGGGCAGUCAUUUAUCGGGCAUUAAUUAAACCACUUAGUUAUAUUAAGCAACAUGGGUGGUAACCCUAAACAUUUGUCUAACUACAUGAAGUAGCAUAUUUGAUUAUCUUAGAUAAUUAAAUUAAUUACAUUGAACACCUUUAUUUAUUUGACUAUCUAAUUAUCUUUAAUAAUCCUAGGUUAUUAUUUAAUUAUGAGCUUACCUUGAUUAAUUAGGAAUGUAGCACUAUUAUAUCCAGUUCUAUUUAUUCUAGUUGCUCUACAUCUGAUUAUGGGUUGAAAGCUUAUGAACAUGAUACACUACUUAAGAAUAACACUUCACAAUAUUUUCAUAAUUUUUCAAGAACUAGAGCUAUUGUUCAUGAAUUUUUCUUUGAAUCUAAACUUAAAUUCACUACUGGAAUUACACUUGGAUUCUGACUCUCAAAGUUUUAUAUUGGAUUAAGCAUACUAAAGCAAAGCUAAGCUAAAAUUUUCAGCUUUAAACAUGAAGGAAUGCAUCUAGAAUUAAAUUAUAAAAUUUCUAUCAACAUACAACAAAUGUACUCGAAUUUCUAAGUAAAUGAGCAGUAAGGAACUUGAGAUUUUUACACAGAGCUAUACAUGGGACUUACAACCUAAGUUCCAAAAUUUAGCUAUAACACAUGCAUAUAACAUGAGAUACAAAUAAAACACUCAUUUUCUAGUAUUUAAUCUACAUCAGAAAAUACACACAUUUAGCUCAAACUCACUAUAUAAAAGUUGUCGAAUAUAACUUAAGGAUUCAAGAAAAACCGGUUUGGCAUUUUUUCUGAAUUUUCUACAUUUUCUACAUGUUUUUGAAGUUCACAGCUUUUGAAUUGGGGGGGUGCAUAAAUCUUGCAGAAAGACCCUUAGAACUUUUGAAAUCCUCCCACAUAUGCCCCUGGCUCAUCGGGGAAGAAGAGCAGGGGAAUUGCUGGCCAAAUUCCGGCGAGGGGGGUGGCGGGGGGUGGAGAAGGACUGGUCUACGGGCACUAGGAGCUCACGGCGCAUCCAUGGGUGGGCUUGGGAGGAAGAGGGGAUGGCCGAAGGUGUGGUUCCCACGGUGGCCGAGGUGGUGGCGGAGGGGAGCUCGUCGGCGAGGGGGUUCCCAGCGAGGAGGAUGGUCAAGCUCGGGCUUGACAGCUGCAGCAGGACAAGGGGAAGCUUUUGGGGUGGUCGAUUUGGACGGAGGAGGGGUGGAGGUACGGGCUCGACGGCGAUAGGAGCUUACCGGCGAGGAGGGGAUCGACGGCGAGGUAGUUUCGGUGGAGGUCUGGCCACGGGGGGUGGCUUGGGAGAGUCAGUGAGGUGAGGGGAAGCUUCCCAGGGGUUGUAGUGGUGCGGGGUGUACAGGGAUGGGCUGCCCACGGCGAGCAGGAGGGCGCCGGAGUUGAAGAAGGAGGCGGCGGCGGUGUUCGGGUUCCUGUGUGUGCACGACAAAGGGAAAACGAGCGGAAUGGAAUGGGCUUGAACCAGAGGAGCUCACGAUAGCUAAAAUUGGGUGAGGGAAGAGGGGGAAAUGCCGGCAUUUGCCACGGUGGCGGCGAGCUGUCGCUCGGCGGGAGCUCGGGCAGGAGAGGGGAGGGGCGUGGCAAGCGCGCAGGAGGCCAGAAGAGGGGAGCUAGAGCGGCGCUCGGGCUGGGGAUCGACGCGUGGAGGUGGAGAACGGCAGGAGGUGGCGAGGGACGGCCGGAAACGGCAGGCGACAGUGCUGCAGAGGAACAAAGGAGCAGAGGAUGUGGAAGAAGAGGGGAGGAGGUCCGAGGGACCUCGUUGGAAAUUGAAAAAAACCUCAGGGACUUCACUGUAAAUAGAAUUUUCCCACAGAUCGAAAGACCUAAUGAGGAAAUGGUCAAAAUAGAAGUUGUAGAACUUUUCAAAUCCUACAACUUUGAUUUAGGGCUCAAGUUCAGAAACCUAAAGUAUACUGCUUUAUUUUACAAUUUUGCACUCAACUCAAAUUUAAUAAAGUUUUUGUCCUUAGUAAUGUAAAUUUUAUGUAAUUUUGGGCUUAUCUGCAAGCAUUUAUGACUGGUCAUGAUUACUUUUAUUUUUACAUUUUACCCUUAGUAACUUUGAAAGUUACCUUUACAAUUCAACUACUUACAUAAAAGAGACUUGUAUUUUUGUGAAAUUACAUAAAUACCCUUAUUUUCAUAACUUCACUCAAAUUUCACACAAUUCAAACCAUACACAUCAUUUUUCCUAUUGGCUUGCUAUAUUUAGCACCUAGGGUGUCAUAGGUAAAGCACUUACCUAAGUUAUGGAAAAUUCAUAAUUCAUCGGUUAUUUUAGAUAAUACUAAAAAACAAGAUAGAGUGAGAUACAAAAGUGUAAAAGAAAAUCGAUUCAUCAGACGGGACAUGAGUCCCUAAUGCCGAAUCAAGAGAUUUGUUGUGGAAUUUGUCAGUUAAGUAAAGUAAUAAUAUUAAGAACUAGAUCAUCUAACCCACUGAAAAAUAUUGAAAAAUGAAAUUGAAUUUUCAGGGGAAUUUUGGAAUAAAAGAUUAAUAAAGAAUUUAAUUUGAAAAAAGUUCUUUCUAUUUCGGAUUAUUUCUUUUUCAAUAGGAUGGAUUUCAUCCUCUUUUGGAGCAAACAGUUAAAUAUUCCCCUAUUCCUUC